UCCAGACAGGAGGCGAGGACAUCCCUCUCCAACGCUGUGCCAACAGAGAGAGGAGAGAGAGGAGAGAGAGAGGAGAGAGAGAGAGAGACUGAAACCCCAUAAUGCACUGCACGCUGCAGGGCUGAAGUCGUGCAGAUUCAUCAGUUCCUGUUCGGAGGGAUUGUGUGUGAGCGCACACACACUCGUACACCCAGACCGAGUGCAAGUGAAACACACAGACAACCAGGCAGAGAGAAGUGCCUUCUUUCGGUGACCCCUGUGGCUGCGCCUCUGCCUCUGUGCCUGUCCAUGUCUACCGGAGUUGCCAGCCACACCAGAAGCCCCAGGACCGCCAAACCCGUCCACUUAGCCAGUCUCCACACCACUGACACCUUCCUCCUUCCCUCCAUCUCCUGCUCUGUCCAGCCAGACUUCUCUCCAUCCAUGCCACACAGCUCUCCUCCGUGGAAGUCAACCACUCCCCCCUCAUCUGCAGACAGAGCUCGAUACUGAAGACAGCUUUUCUCGGCUCCUGUGAGCGGAAGGAGUCUCUGUGCUGUCCUGUCCACCACAGCCUUCUUCCUCGUCCCUUCGGUUCGUCUUUCUCCUCCUUCCUCCUCUCCUGCAGACCUGCAUCUUUUUAUCAUGGGUCGGCUCAAUCGAUAAUGUGUUUUGCCAUUCAUCUCAUCUGACAGUUCAGCCGAGGAGCGAGGCGAUAGCCGGAACUGGUGUGUGUGUGUGUGUGUUUGAGAGAACAAGAUUACAAAGCAGGCCCCUGUGGCCGUCACCAGCCAGGCUCUUGGUGACAGGCGGUGAAGGAUUCCUGUUACAGCCACAAACAGACUCUUAGGAUGGGCCGCAGGUGGUAGGCGAGUCCCAGGCCUCACAGAAUCAUAUCCUGGGGACGCGUCAAAAAACUGUUAAAACUAGCUUUUUCCCAUGUCCAUUACCUAUUCUUUCUCAUCAUUUGCCCCAGUGUCAUUAAAGACAUACAGCGCAGACACGCAUAAUUGCAUUUGCUGGAUAUAUAUUCCUCUUAAUCGCCCCCUCCUGCCCGGUUCAAAAUGGCGCUGAACAUGACGCAGAUCCGGGACACAAAGUGGCUGACGUUGGAGGUUUGUCGGGAAUUCCAGAGAGGAACGUGUUCACGACCGGACAGCGAGUGCAAGUUCGCCCACCCUGCCAAGAGCUGUCAAGUGGAAAACGGCAGAGUCAUUGCUUGUUUUGACUCACUCAAGGGCCGCUGUUCCAGGGAGAACUGCAAGUACCUGCAUCCUCCCCCCCACCUAAAGACCCAGCUGGAGAUCAAUGGAAGGAACAACCUCAUCCAGCAGAAAAACAUGGCCAUGCUGGCCCAGCAGAUGCAGCUUGCCAACGCCAUGAUGCCCGGCACGCAGCUACAGCCAAUGCCCAUGUUUUCAGUCACACCCAGCCUUGCAACCAAUGUCAAUGCUGCUGCGGCAGCUGCCGCUGCAUUCAACCCCUACCUUGGCCCUAUGUCGCCCAGCCUGAUGCCCGCUGACAUGCUGCAAAGUGGCCAUGUACUGGUCACCAGCAACCCCAGUGUCCCCGUACCAGCUGCUGCUGCUGCUGCUGCACAGAAACUCAUGAGGACAGACAGACUGGAGGUGUGUCGGGAAUACCAGCGGGGUAACUGCACACGUGGGGAGAACGACUGUCGCUUUGCCCACCCUUCAGAUAGCACUAUGAUCGACACCAACGACAACACAGUCACUGUGUGUAUGGACUACAUUAAGGGCCGCUGCUCGAGGGAGAAGUGCAAGUACUUUCACCCUCCGGCUCACCUGCAGGCCAAGAUCAAAGCCGCCCAACACCAAGUCAACCAGGCGGCGGCUGCUGCAGCCAUGACUCAGUCGGCUGUCAAAUCACUGAAGCGACCCCUCGACGCAACUUUUGACCUGAGACCUGCACUUGAAAAACCCAACGGUGCCACCACUAUGUUCAACGCUGGUGUAUUCCAGUACCAACAGGCCCUGGCCAACAUGCAUUUUCAGCAGCAGGCUGCCUUCAUACCAUCAGGCUCGAUAUUGUGCAUGACACCUGCAACAGUACCCAUGAUGCACGGUGCUAAUCCAGCCGUGUCUGCAGCCGCCACAUCUGCCACAAGUGUUCCCUUUGCAACGGCAACAGCCAAUCAGGUUUCCUCCACCCUGCAUUCUCCCUCUAUUUCUUUUUUUCCACUUCUGGUGAUAAGGUCUGACUUUUCAGUAGCUGUCAGUUUUCCUUUUUAAUCUUAUGAUUCCCAUUUGCCUCUCCAUUUGCAAAAUGCAUGAAUGGUGCACAUGACUCAUCUGCUAGGUUUUCAGAGUGUCUAUAACUGUGAUUAUUUAGAUAGUUACAAUGCUUAUCUUUAUUAUCAAUAAAUGUUGAAGCGCUGUUUGUUCUCAUUUCAACUGAUGUUUGUGUCUCCCUCCCUCUUUGCCCCCCUGUUUAUUUAUUUCUGUCUUUGCCUUUCCCCUCCCCCUCUCAUUUUCUAUUUUCUCCUCUCAAUCAGAUUCCAAUAAUAUCUGCUGACCAUCUGACCAGUCACAAAUAUUUGACCCAGAUGUAGGAGUCUUAAUCAGAACAAUGGAGCUGGAGCGCGCUGCUGUCGAGUCCAAGAUUAGCGGUCACCCCUCAUGCCUGUAACAUUAAGAGCAAAACUGAGAACCACAUCUAAAUUGGUUUGGGAUAAAUCUGCAUGUUAAUAUAGGAGGCACAGUUUGUAAGGAUUAUUUUCAUGUGUACUUCAUGCACACUAUUACCCAACAACAGAAAAGAACAUCAUUUGCAUUAAGGACUGCCUUUCGCUCUGUGGAGGCAACUAACCUUCAUUCACCGGACACACUUUGAAUGUUAACAUGAGGCAAAAGAGUGGAGUAGUCGUCAAUAACAUCGACUGGAUUGGUACGUCCAUUGACCAAGAAUCAUGACGUGUUGUUUUUUUUUGUUUAUGGGUUGGUGGUCUUUGACCUAUAUGUGUUCAAUUUGCUCACACAAAGGUGCACCGUGUAUUUAAUUUGAGGUAAAAGAAAUGAAUGAUCUGACGGAAUCACAUAUGCAUGCACAACGACUUUAUUUAUGAUUUCAUUUUUUUAAACCAGAGAUAAGGGAAAUGAUAUGAGUGCGCUCAGAGGCAAAAUAGCAACUGAAUGUCUGUAAGGCGUCUAUCAAACCCUUGUAGCCUACCUUUCUAUCUCUUAAGCACAUGUAUUUAACCUUGCAGGCAUCCCUGUAAAGUGCCAUACAUCUCAAAAACACAUGAAUGGUAUUAAAGCAGUUCUACGAAGUGUUAAACCCAACAAUUCCCUUUAAUACGUCUAUUUUGUCUCUUGGACAGCAUGUAGUGUACACUAUUGUGACCUUUCAUUACCUGUGAUUCCCAGUAGCACCACUGGUGACUAGAUAACCUGCCCCAGAUUGUCUGCUUUACUCAAAUCUUCUACUGAAUGAAUCUGGGUUUUUUCUUUUUGAGGGGGGGGGGGGUUGUGUCAGACUUUGUUGUUUUGUUGUUGAUAUCAGUUGUUUGGACAGGAAAUGCCUGGAUCUCUCUGUGGGGUCUUGGCCUGUGCGGGAGACCAAAAGCUCAUAUUGAUGAAGAUGUUGCGAUGAAUAGAUCUGAAACAACAGGGCGAUCGGUUGGUAUCCGAACUGCUGUGAGAACGAAGUCAAAAUCCACGAUGCAACUGGUGAUGGAUUUGUAUGACCUGAUUUGUUUUUCAUUUGUUUUGCAUAUUUUAAGGCAAAUUGCCAAAGUAGAGAUGUAGUGUAUAUAGUCUGACAUAUUUAAAAAAUAUUUGUUGAAUACCUGAGAGCUGUUAUCAGAUUGUCAGCCAAAGUCUUUUUGUGUCACCGUUACUAGAUAUCGUGGGUAGACUAGUGAGACUAAAUUUAAAAAAUGUGUGGUGCCUCACAAGUGGGCCCAAAGUAGGAUCGGGUGUAUAGAGUAGAUCUCUAGAAGUCUUUGUUUUUGUUGUGUUCUGGGUGAUCUUGAGGCAUAUUUCAUCGGUGGAUAGUACAGGGACAGUGGUAAGAAUAUAAACGAUUGUAUUACUCAUCCAAAGCCUUAGAAUGUACCAUCGGGUCAGCACAAUGCAACAUGCCAUUUUGAACCAUCCAGUUGCCUAAUCCACGCCAUAUUAACUUACACACACACACACAGAGCACUAUGUUAUUGUCAAUUUCUGGUGUUUUACUUUAUUCUGUUUGAUGAUAUUUUGAUAUUUAGUUCGGAUUUUUAGUUUUGCUCAUUAUAUGUAUCAUUCUUAUAAUGAACAUGAGGUUUAAAAAAAAAUGGUGUGUUUGUGUGUUCCUUGUGCACAGUUUCAUGAAAUUCCAUGUAAUGUUCAUUUUAGUAUGAUUAUGAUUGUAAAGUCAAUAUUUUCUACGUUAUGCAUAUUGUUGAACCGUAUGCAUAUUGUUCAUUUCUCUAGUCUAUUUGUGUUCUUUGAACAAAAAUGUUUUAUAUGAGUAUCUAGUGAUGAAAUAAUAGAACAGAGAGGCUAAGUUGUCACUGUGGCAACCAUCGCCGAUAACUGAGUAAUAUUUUAAGGAUUGUAAGGUUUGUAACUGGUCAUACAAGAAAAAAAAAAGACUUGUAAAAAUAUAGUUCUUAGAUGUUUAGAGUAAAGAUGUUAUUUUCUACUGUAUCCAUUUCAAAUAGUAAAUAUUGUUUUAAUAUUUUUACUCUCCCUGGAAAUUGGGCCAUGUUGGAAAACAAGCUGCAUAUUUGAUCACUUUUUGGGGGCGUCGCUGGCGGGGUCAGGUGAACGGGGUGAGUAGGGAGCUGAGUCUGCACACCCGUCUCUUACUUAGCCAACUGCAAACAACAAGGGAGGGGAUGGGGAAUCCUGAGGCGAUAAAGGUGAUAAAGGUUGACUUUUUUGCACUUCUGUACAUAGUCAAAAAAGAGAGAUUCAUGUAUAUUGAGAUCUUAUUUUGAAUAAAAAAAGUAUGUCUAUAAUGACACGGAAUUUUGCUAGGAUAACAAAAAAAAAAAAAAUCUUAUGAAAGGCUGAACAAAAUUGCUUGCAUCAAAAGGUCACUGAGUUCUCACGCUCCGACCCCUUUCAGAAAAGGCCGAGUGUUGCUCUUCUUUUUUGUCAGCAGCUUGUAGUUUGCCAGGUAACCUUCCGGAGGAGGCGUCCACUACCCUCCAGCGUGAGGGCCUGACUGGGUUUGUCUGGUCCCCUAACCCGCCUGUACUGACAGGUCUGUGUGUCAUGGCCACGCCCUACCAGGCCCAACCAAUCACAACACGUCCUGUCUCCUCACUUAACUCAGAGAGGAAUGCAUGCUAAAGGAAAUACAUAUACCGUUGAAAAAGAAUCACAGCAGCAAUAUUGAUUAAGAAAAUAUGUUACACAGAAAGAUGUAUUUACAGUAUACAAUAUUCUAUCAAUGUAAUUGAAUAAAAUAUAUAUAUAAAAAUACAAAAAUAGAAUAGUGGUUUAUUUAAAAAAAAGAAGAAAAAAAAGAUUCCUGAGAACAUACUCACUACAGUUUUACCACUUGGAGAGUACAAGCAACACAAACACCAUAGCUUAUAAGUAUGUUCUUUAUGUUUAUGUAAGCUGUGCUUCUAGUAGAUGAAACUGACCAAACAGGAAUAUAGUUCAACAUCAGGUGAAAUGUAAGAAUCAUUUCAGAUUGAAAUACUGUUUUGUGGUUUGGUCAUUAAGUCGUUCGUUUGAAAUUGUGUCCUGAUCAUCUUUGUCAUCUCUCAUCUCCUACAAGCACGCAUGCUUACGUUUAUGAUAUAAUGUAAACUGAACUCUUUUUUUUUUUUCAUUUCUUGUUUGUUUUCUCUGCUCGUAGUGCCAAUAUGAUGUAUUCUGUCUUCUGCUGCAAUUACUUUUGCUUGUUUUAUUGCUCCAGGCCCCUUGAAAGGACGUGUCAUGUUUAAAUAUACCGGCCACCUCAUCUGAAAAGCACCUGUAGAGAACAUCUCUGAUUGCCACAGUCUAAAGCCAUAAAAUAUAAUCUCAUCAGAACGAAAUGUGUGUGAGGAAAUCAGAAAUGAAAUCGAGGUAGGAAACGGCACCUUCUGAAGCUGGUAUGUUCGCUGGGGUUUUAUAAACUACAUCGUGUAAUAAUUAAAGUCGUGAAUGUAGCUAAUAUAACCUGUGUGCUGCACCAACUUUGAUGGAUGUCUGUGGUUAAGAGAGAAAAAGUUCUUGACACAUUUUUCCACGGGGCCUGCAUUGCUAUAUUUGAUUCUUGCUGUUAUGAAUUUAAAAAAAAAAGUAAUAAAAAUUUACAAAUGAA